AGAGCGAACGCUGGCGGCAGGCCUAACACAUGCAAGUCGAGCGCCCGUAGCAAUACGGGAGCGGCAGACGGGAUAGUAACACGUGGGAACGCGCCCUUCGGUUCGGAAUAACUCAGGGAAACUUGAGCUAAUACCGGAUACGCCCUUACGGGGAAAGAUUUAUUGCCGAAGGAACGGCCCGCGUCCGAUUAGCUAGUUGGUGAGGUAAUGGCUCACCAAGGCGACGAUCGGUAGCUGGUCUGAAAGGAUGACCAGCAUCACUGGGACUGAGACACGGCCCAGACUCCUACGGGAGGCAGCAGUGGGGAAUAUUGGACAAUGGGCGCAAGCCUGAUCCAGCCAUGCCGCGUGGAUGAUGAAGGCCUUAGGGUUGUAAAGUCCUUUUAACGGGGAGAUAAUGACGGUACCCGUAGAAUAAGCCCCGGCUAACUUCGUGCCAGCAGCCGC
rnacentral:rRNA from 1 species